rnacentral:rRNA from 1 species
CCUACGGGCGGCAGCAGUGAGGAAUAUUGGUCAAUGGCCGGAAGGCUGAACCAGCCAUGCCGCGUGAAGGUCAGUGCCCUAUGGGCGUUAAACUUCUUUUGUGCGGGAGCAAUAAUGGUCACGUGUGGCCAGACGAGAGUACCGUACGCAUAAGCAUCGGCUAACUCCGUGCCAGCAGCCGCGGUAAUACGGGGGAUGCAAGCGUUAUCCGGAUUUAUUGGGUUUAAAGGGUGCGUAGGCUGUGAGGUAAGUCAGCGGUGAAAUGCCCCCGCUCAACGGGGUGAAGUGCCAUUGAUACUGCCUUGCUUGAGUGCGGAUGCCGUGGGAGGAAUGUGUGGUGUAGCGGUGAAAUGCAUAGAUAUCACACAGAACACCGAUUGCGAAGGCAUCUCACGAAUCCGCGAUUGACGCUGAUACACGAAAGCGUGGGUAUCAAACAGGAUUAGAUACCCCUGUAGUC